AUGGUUAUGGUCCAACACCUGGUCGCCGUCGGCAGAGACGUGGUCUUUAGGGGGCCGCAUACGCUGACGCCGAGGCCGACGCCAUCGGCAGGCACCAGCACCCCCAAGUCGACCGUCAUCUCGGUGGUGAUAUGCGCCUUGUUCUUCCUGGUCGGCCUCUGCGGCUACAUCAACAGGUACUGCCGCCGCGUCAACACGGCGGCAGCAGCGCCGGUGGGAGGCAGGGACAGGUCAUCGUCGUCAGGGGGGAGCUCCAGGAAGCGCGGGCUGGAGCAGUCGGUGCUGGCGACGUUCCCGGUCAUGCUGUGGAGGGGCCACCACAAGAAGGAGAAGACGGUGAUGGAGGAGGAGGAGGAGGAGGAGCGCUGCCCCGUGUGCCUGGCGGCGUUCGAGGAAGGCGACAACCUCCGCCUGCUGCCGCACUGCUCGCACGUGUUCCACCCGGAGUGCGUCGACCCCUGGCUGCAGGCGCGGGCGACCUGCCCCCUGUGCCGGGCCAACCUCGAGCUGCCGCUGCCGGCGGACGCCCUGGCGAUCGCAAUGCCGGCGGAGGGUAGCGACGACGACGUGGAUGACGGGAAGGAGGAGGCCAUGGAGCUCGAGAUGCUACGCACAGAGCGGCGGGCGGCGAGGCUGCCACCAGUCGCCACAGGGAAGCUGGCACUGCCGUCUCCAGUAGCGCGCAUCGCUGAGAGAGUGUCUGCGUCCAGCGUCGGUGUCGUGGGCCCAAGCUAG
rnacentral:rRNA from 1 species